rnacentral:lncRNA from 1 species
CACAUCUCUCUGUUCUAAAACACAUCUCUCUGUUCUAAAACACACCUCUCUCUGUUCUAAAACACAUCUCUCUUCUCUGGCAGGAGAGAGCCAAUUAGAGGUACUUAUACUCAAGAGAUAUGAUCUUUUUAAUCCUCUGAUCUCUGUGCUCAGAACAGGCUCUUAAACGGACACGUGUGGUGAAGAAGUGGUCAAGUUGUUUGACCUACUUCUAUAGUGUUUAAUCUGCAACCUCAGUUAAACUUAUUGAAGAAAAAAACAACAACCUCUCCGAUGAUAACAGACCAGAAUCCAUACUACGGGUUAUAUAUCCGUUUUCUAAGGUAACUGUUGGUUAUUAUGAGGGCUCGGGACAAGGCUAAAUCUUCUUUCGUAGGAUGUUGUUUUUUUUAGCCACUGGAGGUUGGUGGCACCUUAAUUUGAGGAGGACGGGCUCGUGGUAACAGCUGGAGCGGAAUCAGUGGAAUGGAAUCAAACACAUGGUUUCCAUGGUUUCCCCGGGUGUUGGAUGUCGUUCCAUUUUCUUCCGUUCCCGGCUACUAUCACGAGCUGUCCUCCUCUCAGCAGCCUCCUGUGUUUUAGGCAUGUAUGUAACAUACGGUACAUACUGCACCAAUGUUGCAUAACCAUGAUACUCUGACUCUCUCACAUAACCAUGCUACUCUGAAUCUCUCACAUAACCAUGAUACUCUGAAUCUCUCACAUAACCAUGAUACUCUGAAUCUCUCACAUAACCAUGAUAGACUGAAUCUCUCACAUAACCAUGAUAGACUGAGUCUCUCACAAAGCUAUUCUUUCAUCUCAGUCCCAUGAUGUUGAUGCUGGCUAAAGACAUCUAUUUAUCCCCCACACCCCCCCAACCUCCCCUUUGGAAUUUCCCUUUAAGAUCAGAUCUAUUUCAUACCCAGCUCAGCGUGAUAGCUCGAGCAGCAGGCCCGAUCGCACCUCAUGACGUUUAACCACAACACCACUCGUUCUCACGCUGUCUCUCCGCUAUAAUGAGGAUCUCUGCACAAUUGUCGCUUCCCUUCUAUGUUAAAGACACGUAGUUCUGUUUCACACCUUCACAUCGUCAGCUGUCCAGACAUGGUGUACUGUGGGUAGUAGACAUGGGGUAUUGUAGGUAGGUUGACUCGGUGUCGUGCUUCUACAUCUGCAUUGCGUGCUGUUUUGUUUUGGGGGGGGGGGUUAGGCUGGGUUUCUGUAUAAGCACUUGGUGAUAUCUGGCUUUAUAAAUACAUUUGAUUGUGUUGAUUGAAUGUAUUGUGGGUAGACAUGGUACAGAGUGGCCCAGCGUCGUCUGGGUUUUGGCCGGUGUAGGCCGUCAUUGUAGACAGACUGGCCUAGUUAAAUAAAAGUGAACUAUUUUGGGUAGACAUGGUACAGUGUGGCCCAGCGUCAUCCAUAUAAAUAAAGGUUAACUAUUCAGUGUCUGUCUGUCCACUGUCUCUCUGUCCAGUGUCUGUCUGUCCAGUGUCUGUCUGUCUGUCCAGUGUCUGUCUGUCUGUCCAGUGUCUGUCUGUCUGUCCAGUAUCUGUCUGUUCAGUGUCUGUCUGUCCAGUGUCUGUCUGUCUGUCCAGUGUCUGCCUGUUCAGUAUCUGUCUGUCUGUUCAGUGUCUGUCUGUCCAGUGUCUGUCUGUCUGUCCAGUGUCUGUCUGUUCAGUGUCUGUCUGUCCAGUGUCUGUCUGUCUGUCCAGUGUCUGCCUGUUCAGUGUCUGUCUGUCUGUCCAGUGUCUGUCUGUCCAGUGUCUGUCUAUUCAGUGUCUGUCUGUCUGUUCAGUGUCUGUCUGUCUGUCUAGUGUCUGUCUGUUCAGUGUCUGUCUGUCCAGUGUCUGUCUGUCUGUUCAGUGUCUGUCUGUCCAGUGUCUGUCUGUCUGUCCAGUGUCUGCCUGUUCAGUGUCUGUCUGUCUGUCCAGUGUCUGUCUGUCCAGUGUCUGUCUGUUCAGUGUCUGUCUGUCUGUUCAGUGUCUGUCUGUCUGUCUGUCCAGUGUCUGUCUGUUCAGUGUCUGUCUGUCCAGUGUCUGCCUGUUCAGUGUCUGCCUGUUCAGUGUCUGUCUGUCUGUUCAGUGUCUGUCUGUCUGUCCAGUGUCUGUCUGUCUGUCCAGUGUCUGUCUGUUCAGUGUCUGUCUGUCCAGUGUCUGUCUGUGUGUUCAGUGUCUGUCUGUCCAGUGUCUGUCUGUCUGUCUGUUCAGUGUCUGUCUGUCUGUCCAGUGUCUGUCUGUUCAGUGUCUGUCUGUCUGUCUGUCUGUCUGUCUGUCUGUCUGUCUGUCUGUCUGUCUGUCUGUCUGUCCAGUGUCUGUCUGUCCAGUGUCUGUCUGUCUGUUCAGUGUCUGUCUGUCUGUUCAGUGUCUGUCUGUUCAGUGUCUGUCUGUCUGUCCAGUGUCUGUCUGUCUGUCCAGAGAGGGGAGGUCUAACCUGACACCACAGACAGACGGAAAGAGAGGGGAGGUCUAACCUGACACCACAGACAGAUAGAGAGGGGAGGUCUAACUUGACACCACAGACAGAUAGAGAGGGGAGGUCUAACCUGACACAACAGACAGAUAGAGUGGACAGCUAGAGAAGGGAGGUCUAACUUGACACCACAGACAGACGGAAAGAGAGGGGAGGUCUAACCUGACACCACAGACAGAUAGAGAGGGGAGGUCUAACCUGACACCACAGACAGACAGAAAGAGAGGGGAGGUCUGACCUGACACCACAGACAGAUAGAGAGGGGAGGUCUAACCUGACCCCACAGACAGAUGGAAAGAGAGGGGAGGUCUAACCUGACACCACAGACAGACGGAAUGAGAGGGGAGGUCUGACCUGACACCACAGACAGACGGAAUGAGAGGGGAGGUCUGACCUGACACCACAGACAGAUAGAGAGGGGAGGUCUAACCUGACACCACAGACAGACGGAAAGAGAGGGGAGGUCUGACCUGACACCACAGACAGAUAGAGAGGGGAGGUCUAACCUGACCCCACAGACAGAUGGAAAGAGAGGGGAGGUCUAACCUGACACCACAGACAGACAGAAAGAGAGAGAGGGGAGGUCUAACCUGACACCACAGACAGACGGAAAGAGAGGGGAGGUCUAACUUGACACCACAGACAGACAGAAAAAGAGCGGAGGUCUAACCUGACACUACAGACAGACGGAAAGACAGGGGAGGUCUAACCUGACACCACAGACAGAAAGAGAGGGGAGGUCUAACCUUACACCACAGACAGACGGAAAGAGAGGGGAGGUCUAACCUGACACCACAGACAGAGAGACAGAGAGAGAGGGGAGGUCUAACUUGACACCACAGACAGACAGAAAGAGAGGGGAGGUCUAACCUGACACCACAGACAGACGGAAAGAGAGAGAGGGGAGGUCUAACUUGACACCACAGACAGACAGAAAGAGAGGGGAGGUCUAACCUGACACCACAGACAGACAGAAAGAGAGAGAGGGGAGGUCUAACUUGACACCACAGACAGACAGAAAGAGAGGGGAGGUCUAACCUGACACCACAGACAGACAGAAAGAGACGGGAGGUCUGACUUGACACCACAGACAGACGGAAAAAGAGGGGAGGUCUAACUUGACACCACAGACAGACGGAAAGACAGGGGAGGUCUAACCUGACACCACAGACAGACAGAAAGAGAGAGAAGGGAGAUCUAACUUGACACCACAGACAGACAGAAAGAGAGAGGAGGUCUAACCUGACACCACAGACAGAAAGAGAGGGGAGGUCUAACCUGACACCACAGACAGACGGAAAGAGAGGGGAGGCCUGACCUGAUACCGCAGACAGACAGAAAGAGAGGGGAGGUCUAACCUGACACCACAGACAGAAAGAGAGGGGAGGUCUAACCUGACACCACAGACAGACGGAAACAGGGGGGGGCCUGACCUGAUACUGCAGACAGACAGAAAGAGAGGGGAGGUCUAACCUGACACCGCAGACAGACAGAAAGAGAGGGGAGGUCUAACCUGACACCACAGACAGACAGAAAGAGAGAGAGGGGAGGUCUAACUUGACACCACAGACAGACAGAAAGAGAGGGGAGGUCUAACCUGACCACAGACAGACGGAAAGAGAGGGGAGGUCUAACCUGACACCACAGACAGACGGAAAGAGAGGGGAGGUCUAACCCAACACCACUUUCAGACAGAAAGGUUGAAAAGUCCUGAAUCAAGAAAAACAGCAAAAUAAAACCCCUUCUGGGUCCCACAAGGUCAACCACCACCCCUCCACGUCUCUUCACACAUACCUCAGCAUCAGCAUAGCAGUUGGAGUCCAGACCCGGCGGAUGCUGAUGAAGCUAUGCAUACCAUCACCAAGUGUUUGUGUAGAAGAAGAUGAGUAUACACAUUCCUGCUGCAUUUUGGUCCACUCAAUACGACAAACGUUACAGAACUACCCACCAACAACGGACCAAGCAGCGGAGGAAGGAGCAGCAAGAGGAGUAUAAGGAGUCAUGGACUUGGGAGGAGAUAUUAGCUGGAGAAGGACCAUGGAGGAAGACUGGAGAGGACCGGGAACGCUAUGCGGGAACACGGCUGGCAAGGAAGCCUGAGAGGCAGCCCCCCAAAAAUGUUUGGGGGGGGGGCACACGGGAAGAUUGGCUAGGUCAGGCAUUAGACCUGAGCCAACUCCCUGUGCUUAUUAUGGGGAGCGUUUGGCGGUGAGAACGCCAGUAUAUGCGGAAGUGCGCACGAUCUCGCCCAUGCGCACGCACAGUCCGGUGCGAGUAAUACCAGCCCCCGUAAGUGCCGUGCUAGAGUGGGCAUCCAAGCUGGGGUCAUAUUUUGCUAAUGUGCCUGAAAGUAUUAAUGUUGGACUAGGUCUAUAACACUGUAUAAAUGCUGGACUAGGUCUGUAACACUGUAUUAAUGCUGCACUGGGCCAGUAACACUGUAUUAAUGCUGGGCUGGGUCUGUAACACUGUAUUAAUGCUGGACUAGGUCUAUAACACUGUAUUAAUGCUGGACUAGGUCUAUAACACUGUAUUAAUGCUGGACUAGGUCUAUA